UACGUAGGGUGCAAGCGUUGUCCGGAAUUAUUGGGCGUAAAGCGCGCGUAGGUGGCUUCGUAAGUCCGUUGUGAAAGUCAAAGGCUCAACCUUUGAAAGCCGAUGGAUACUGCGGAGCUAGAGUACGGAAGAGGCGAGUGGAAUUCCUGGUGUAGCGGUGGAAUGCGCAGAUAUCAGGAGGAACACCAAUAGCGAAGGCAGCUCGCUGGGACGUUACUGACACUGAGGCGCGAAAGUGUGGGGAGCGAACAGG
rnacentral:rRNA from 1 species